UUUUUUUUUUUUUCCAGCUGAUACAAAGAAAGUCUGAUUGCUUUGCUUUGGUGCCUAACAAUAGGCAGAGCAGCUGUGGGCUCACGCUGGGAUUACUGGGAGGGAACGUAUUUUCCUCCUGGGGUGGGAGGAGGUUUUAAAUUUGGGAAGUUGCUUUGUGAAAGAGGGGCUGGAAGAAGUUGCUGCUGCGGGCUUCCCGGCUUUUGGGAGACCAGAUCACACAUCGAGCUUUUGCAAUGGACCAGGCAUUGUAAUAGGCACUUGAGAAACAAGGAUAUUCCCAGUCCUCAAGGAUCUUCCCUUCUGGUUUGCGAGGAAAUGGUCCAUGGCAAGCCUGUCUUCACUCCGCUAACCUGAAUGACUUCAUUUCCACUCCUCAUGAAGUAUGAAAGCAAGUUUAGUUGCUCAGUUGUGUCCAACUCGUUGCAACUCCAUGAACUGUAGCCCACUGGACUCCUCUGUCCAUGGGAUUUUCCA
ensembl:lncRNA